GCGCGCGCUCCCCUGGCCGUCUCCCACCGGAUCAGGUGUCUCCUCUGCGCAGACUCCUCCACGACGCCAGUCGGCGCUGGCGUAGCUCGGCUCAGCCCGGCGGAGUCUGACUUCCGGAGGGCCAGCGGCGCGCUGGCUGGUUACCAAGGUUACCGCCGAGAGGCCGCGUCCUCAGCUGGUCCUAGACAUGCGUGGCGUCGGGGCUGUGGCACGGUCGGGUCCGGGCUUGAAUGCACCAAGGAAAGGCCAUUUGUGGGGACAUAGCAAGAAGGCAGCUGUCUGCAAGCCAGGAGGAGAACCCUCACCAGAAACCUCACAGAAAUCGGCCAACACCCUCAUCUCGGGCUUCCAGCUUCAGAACAACGAGAAAACAAAUUUCUGUUGUGUCCUGGUUCCCAUUUGUAAUUGGCACCCUAAUGAAACCGUUUUCUGUAGCCCUGGAAAUGGCUGAAAAUGAGGGGAGGGAAAUAAAGUGCUAUAAUUCAGAGCAUGGAGCACACCUUCCUGGUUCACCUGAGCUGGAUUCGGAGAGGUAAAAUGGCCAUUACCUCGUCUAAGCUGCCACUUACAGACACAGUACAGGAUGAGGCCCAGACCCACAGAGACAACGAUGAUGGCCACAGCUAAGAUGAUCCAGAAAUUAUUCCUCCACCAGCUCAUUGCAGUGGAAUCCUGAGAAGAAUGGAGAGAGAAGAAUGAGCAGUCGUACCAGGGCCCCAGGCUGCAAUCCCCUGGCCCAGUGCUGAUCGGUGGCUCCCAGGGACACGCCCUGAUGCCAGCGCUGGCAGAUGUCUGCUGUGAAGAGAGCAGGAAACUGUCCCUUGGAAAGCUGAGAUGCUUACCUGAACUGUGAAAGUAUCCAUAUGUGAGCAGCUAAGGAGACAGCAGUGGCUGGAGUGCUGCAGCUCAGGCACAGCUGGUGAGAGGCAUUCCUCACUCACAGGCCUUCACCCACUGCUAGAGACAGUGAGCCCCAUCCUGACCACUUCCCCUUUCUAGUCAGCCCACGGGGCAGAGACCCUGGCGUCAUCUCUAGGCAACCAUCCCUUUUCCAGGGAAGCUCAUGACCCACGGCUGUCCAGAAGCCAGAAUCUUCUCACUGCCCCGUGUCGCUCCCGCAAGGCCUACCAGAGGACCCUCAUGGUGUGGUAGGGGGUCCUGGCAGGGGCCAGGGGCCAGGGUGGAGACUUGGCAGUGGGGGUGGGUUUGGUGUCCCCACAGACGAGUUUGCCGUGAGCAUUCCUGGAUGUGGCAACCUCAGUCUCAAGAAGAGCGACAGGACGCCAGCUCCCAUGCAGAGACAGAUCCAGGUAAGAAACCAGCUCAUGUGUGACAAACUCACCAUCUCACCAUGAAGGUGACUCUUGAAAGCUCCUGUGCACCUUGGAACUGCUGAGACAUCUUCUGCUUGGAGGAGGCAAGGGACAGGCUUCCUGUUUCUAAAGGCGUGUGAGUGGCGACCUUGAGAAAUGUGGCCAGUGGAGCAUUUUGACUGAGUUGGGUCCCCUCGUGCAAUACUGUGAGACAGAACUCCCAGCGAGGCCCACGGCCUCUGACCAUGGGGGUUGGAGUGGGGAAACCAAUUAGCCAUUUUGUUGAAUUGGCUGGUUCUGACUCAAAUGAGCAGUCACAUUAGUAAAAAUAGGCAAACGGAUGUGCAUUGUAUUUGCCCAGAGCGAAUGAGUUGUUAUCCAUUUCAGUAAUAAUGAUAACCAGAUAUGUCUGAUAAAUAUCUGAUAAUGUCUGAUAUAUGUCUGGUAAAUUUAACAAACACCGGGCUCUGGCUGGGUGCGGUGGCUCACACCUGUAAUCCCAGCACUUUGGGAGGCCAAGGCGGGUGGAUCACCUGAAGUCAGUAGUUCGAGA
rnacentral:lncRNA from 10 species